GUCGUUUUGGGCCAAAAAAAUGGGAAAGGGCUUCGUUCAUGUAAGGAAACCCUAAUCCCAAACGACCAAACCACACUAACACACAGAACAGAGAAACACUAUCUUCUCCAAGACUCCAAGCCCUCACUCUCUUCUCCAAGCCCAUCGUGCCGCCAUCCACCAUUGUCUGCGCCACCACGUCGGAGGCUGGACGGAUCCCACGCCAUCUUCUUCCUCGUGGUGCAGCACUGCCACCGUCGUUCAUGUCCACUUCUCAGUCCUCACUUCGUCGGUGAAGGUGAAGGCUGACGACGACGCUGAAGGUUCCUCAACGCUUCACGGCACUUCUGUUCUUCCCCUCGUUCCUCACCUUUGGUUUGUGUUCCUCGCCCUCUGUUCUGCCUGAGCUGAAGGUUGCCUGAGCUGCCUCUCUUCUUCUUUGGUUCUAUCUGAGCUUCCUUCUCCAAGGGACAAAAAUACAAAAUGUCUGAUGAAGAUGGUGAAGGUGAUGAUGUUGAUGCCAUGGAAGAUGAAGAUGUUGGAGGAUUUCAGUUUUAGUCUUUUAUUUUAUUAGAACAUUUAAUUGUUGCUUU